AUUGAACGCUGGCGGAAUGCUUUACACAUGCAAGUCGAACGGCAGCACGGGUGCUUGCACCUGGUGGCGAGUGGCGAACGGGUGAGUAAUGCACCGGAACGUACCUUUCAGUGGGGGAUAACGUAGCGAAAGUUACGCUAAUACCGCAUAUUCUGUGAGCAGGAAAGCAGGGGAUCGCAAGACCUUGCGCUGAUUGAGCGGCCGAUGUCAGAUUAGCUAGUUGGUGAGGUAAAGGCUCACCAAGGCGACGAUCUGUAGCGGGUCUGAGAGGAUGAUCCGCCACACUGGAACUGAGACACGGUCCAGACUCCUACGGGAGGCAGCAGUGGGGAAUUUUGGACAAUGGGCGCAAGCCUGAUCCAGCCAUGCCGCGUGAGUGAAGAAGGCCUCGG
rnacentral:rRNA from 1 species